GGUUAUGGCUCAGUGGCAGAGCACUUGCCUACCAUGUGUGAGGCACUGGGUUUGAUUCUCAGCACCA
rnacentral:tRNA from 1 species